rnacentral:rRNA from 1 species
AGGGCACCACCAGGAGUGGAGCCUGCGGCUUAAUUUGACUCAACACGGGGAAACUUACCCGGCCUGGACACUGGAAGGAUUGACAGAUUGAGAGCUCUUUCUUGAUUCAGUGGGUGGUGGUGCAUGGCCGUUCUUAGUUGGUGGAGCGACUUGUCUGGUUAAUUCCGAUAACGAACGAGACUCUAGCCUAUUAAGUAGGCUCUCGGCUUUUAAACGCCGGGAGGACUUCUUAGAGGGACAGGUGGCGGUUCAGCCGCACGAAAGAGAGCAAUAACAGGUCUGUGAUGCCCUUUGUUGUCCGGGGCCGCACGCGCGCUACACUGAAGAGAUCAGCGUGCUUUACGUUCCUGCUCCGACCGGAGUGGGGAACCCAGUGAACCUUCUUCGUGAUUGGGAUAGAAGAUUGUAAUUAUUCUUCUUGAACGAGGAAUUCCCAGUAAAUGCGAGUCAUAAGCUCGCGUUGAUUACGUCCCUGCCCUUUGUACACACCGCCCGUCGCUACUACCGAUUGAACGAUUU